AAACUGCGAAUGGCUCAUUAAAUCAGUUAUCGUUUAUUUGAUAGUACCUUACUACUUGGAUAACCGUGGUAAUUCUAGAGCUAAUACAUGCUAAAAACCCCGACUUCGGAAGGGGUGUAUUUAUUAGAUAAAAAACCAAUGCUCUUCGGGGCUCCUUGGUGAUUCAUAAUAACUUAACGAAUCGCAUGGCCUUGUGCCGGCGAUGGUUCAUUCAAAUUUCUGCCCUAUCAACUUUCGAUGGUAGGAUAGUGGCCUACCAUGGUUUCAACGGGUAACGGGGAAUUAGGGUUCUAUUCCGGAGAGGGAGCCUGAGAAACGGCUACCACAUCCAAGGAAGGCAGCAGGCGCGCAAAUUACCCAAUCCCGACACGGGGAGGUAGUGACAAUAAAUACUGAUACAGGGCUCUUUUGAGUCUUGUAAUUGGAAUGAGUACAAUUUAAAUCCCUUAACGAGGAACAAUUGGAGGGCAAGUCUGGUGCCAGCAGCCGCGGUAAUUCCAGCUCCAAUAGCGUAUAUUAAAGUUGUUGCAGUUAAAAAGCUCGUAGUUGAACCUUGGGCCUGGCUGGCCGGUCCGCCUCAC
rnacentral:rRNA from 1 species